rnacentral:rRNA from 1 species
UCCUGACCGUGCAAAGGUAGCAUAAUCAUUUGUCCAUUAAUUGUGGACUGGAAUGAAUGGGUUAAUGAAAUUUAAGCUGUCUCUAAUUAACAUUAUAAAAACUAGUCAUUAAGUGAAGAAACUUAAAUUAAAUUGAAAGACAAGAAGACCCUAUAGAGCUUUACUCUAACCUAAAUAACUAUUUUAGCAACAGUUCGGUUGGGGCGACCAGGGAGCAUCAUCUCUAAACAAACAGAAAAAUAAUUCAUACAAUAUGACCCUUUAAAGAUCAUAAAAUCAAGCUACCUUAGGGAUAACAGGCUAAUUUUCCUACAGAGACCUUAUUAACAGGAAAGAUUGGCACCUCGAUGUUGGCUUAGGAAAUUUAU